rnacentral:rRNA from 1 species
GACGAACGCUGGCGGCGUGCUUAACACAUGCAAGUCGAGCGGUAAGGCCCUUUCGGGGGUACACGAGCGGCGAACGGGUGAGUAACACGUGGGUGACCUGCCCUCAGCUCUGGGAUAAGCCUGGGAAACCGGGUCUAAUACCGGAUAUGACUCCAUGACGCAUGUUGUGGGGUGGAAAGCCUUGUGCGGCUGAGGAUGGGCCCGCGGCCUAUCAGCUUGUUGGUGGGGNGAUGGCCUACCAAGGCGACGACGGGUAGCCGGCCUGAGAGGGCGACCGGCCACACUGGGACUGAGACACGGCCCAGACUCCUACGGGGGGCAGCAGUGGGGAAUCUUGCGCAAUGGGCGAAAGCCUGACGCAGCGACGCCGCGUGAGGGAUGACGGCCUCGG